rnacentral:rRNA from 1 species
GCCGUUGCGGGGUCCUACAAUGCAGUCGUACGAGAAUCCUGGGCAACUGGGAAAGUAAAGUGGCGCACGGGUGAGUAACGCGUGGGUAACCUACCCUCGGAUUUGGGAUAACUCCGCGAAAGCGGGGUUAAUACCGAAUAAUAUUCUGAUUCCUAAGGGGAUUGGAAUCAAAGGUGGCCUCUGCAUGCAAGCUAUCAUCUGAGGAUGGGCCCGCGUACCAUUAGCUUGUUGGUAGGGUAAAGGCCUACCAAGGCGACGAUGGGUAGCUGGUCUGAGAGGACGGCCAGCCACACUGGAACUGGUACACGGUCCAGACUCCUACGGGAGGCAGCAGUGAGGAAUAUUGCGCAAUGGGGGCAACCCUGACGCAGCGAUGCCGCGUGGGUGAAGAAGGCCUUCGGGUCGUAAAGCCCUGUCAGGCGGGAAGAAUAGCCCUUGGGUUAACAGCCGAGGGGUGUGACGGUACCGCCGAAGGAAGCACCGGCUAACUCCGUGCCAGCAGCCGCGGUAAGACGGAGGGUGCAAGCGUUAUUCGGAAUUAUUGGGCGUAAAGGGCGUGCAGGCGGCCGAUCAAGUCAGAGGUGAAAGCCCAGGGCUCAACCCUGGAAGUGCCUCUGAUACUGGUUGGCUUGAGUUCGGGAGAGGGAAGCGGAAUUCCGGGUGUAGAGGUGAAAUUCGUAGAUAUCCGGAGGAACACCGGUGGCGAAGGCGGCUUCCUGGACCGAAACUGACGCUGAGACGCGAAAGCGUGGGGAGCAAACAGGAUUAGAUACCCUGGUAGUCCACGCUGUAAACGAUGGGCGCUAGGUGUAGGGGGUUUUUAAUCCCUCUGUGCCGCAGCUAACGCAUUAAGCGCCCCGCCUGGGGAGUACGGCCGCAAGGUUAAAACUCAAAGGAAUUGACGG